UGGAUAUGGCAUUUUAUAUGGUUUUAAGCAUAUUUAGUAUGUCAGGAUCGCAAGAUAGCAGCAUAAAAUAUUCGCUUAAAUCAGUAUAAAAUCUAUAUC
rnacentral:SRP_RNA from 1 species